rnacentral:rRNA from 1 species
GGGUUGUGAGGUUAAGCGACUAAGCGUACACGGUGGAUGCCCUGGCAGUCAGAGGCGAUGAAGGACGUGCUAAUCUGCGAAAAGCGUCGGUAAGGUGAUAUGAACCGUUAUAGCCGGCGAUGUCCGAAUGGGGAAACCCAGUGUGAUUCGUCACACUAUCGUUAACUGAAUACAUAGGUUAACGAGGCGAACCGGGGGAACUGAAACAUCUAAGUACCCCGAGGAAAAGAAAUCAACCGAGAUUCCCCCAGUAGCGGCGAGCGAACGGGGAGCAGCCCAGAGUCUGAAUCAGCUUGUGUGUUAGUGGAACGGUCUGGAAAGUCCGACGGUACAGGGUGAUAGUCCCGUACACCAAAAUGCACAGGCUGUGAACUCGAAGAGUAGGGCGGGACACGUGGUAUCCUGUCUGAAUAUGGGGGGACCAUCCUCCAAGGCUAAAUACUCCUGACUGACCGAUAGUGAACCAGUACCGUGAGGGAAAGGCGAAAAGAACCCCGGCGAGGGGAGUGAAAAAGAACCUGAAACCGUGUACGUACAAGCAGUGGGAGCACCUUCGGGUGUGACUGCGUACCUUUUGUAUAAUGGGUCAGCGACUUAUAUUCUGUAGCAAGGUUAACCGUAUAGGGGAGCCGCAGGGAAACCGAGUCUUAACUGGGCGUUAAGUUGCAGGGUAUAGACCCGAAACCCGGUGAUCUAGCCAUGGGCAGGUUGAAGGUUGGGUAACACUAACUGGAGGACCGAACCGACUAAUGUUGAAAAAUUAGCGGAUGACUUGUGGCUGGGGGUGAAAGGCCAAUCAAACCGGGAGAUAGCUGGUUCUCCCCGAAAGCUAUUUAGGUAGCGCCUCGUGAACUCAUCUUCGGGGGUAGAGCACUGUUUCGGCUAGGGGGUCAUCCCGACUUACCAACCCGAUGCAAACUACGAAUACCGAAGAAUGUUAUCACGGGAGACACACGGCGGGUGCUAACGUCCGUCGUGAAGAGGGAAACAACCCAGACCGCCAGCUAAGGUCCCAAAGUCAUGGUUAAGUGGGAAACGAUGUGGGAAGGCACAGACAGCCAGGAUGUUGGCUUAGAAGCAGCCAUCAUUUAAAGAAAGCGUAAUAGCUCACUGGUCGAGUCGGCCUGCGCGGAAGAUGUAACGGGGCUAAACCAUGCACCGAAGCUGCGGCAGCGACACUAUGUGUUGUUGGGUAGGGGAGCGUUCUGUAAGCCUGCGAAGGUGUGCUGUGAGGCAUGCUGGAGGUAUCAGAAGUGCGAAUGCUGACAUAAGUAACGAUAAAGCGGGUGAAAAGCCCGCUCGCCGGAAGACCAAGGGUUCCUGUCCAACGUUAAUCGGGGCAGGGUGAGUCGACCCCUAAGGCGAGGCCGAAAGGCGUAGUCGAUGGGAAACAGGUUAAUAUUCCUGUACUUGGUGUUACUGCGAAGGGGGGACGGAGAAGGCUAUGUUAGCCGGGCGACGGUUGUCCCGGUUUAAGCAUGUAGGCUGAUUGUCCAGGCAAAUCCGGAUAAUCAAGGCUGAGGUGUGAUGACGAGGCACUACGGUGCUGAAGUAACAAAUGCCCUGCUUCCAGGAAAAGCCUCUAAGCAUCAGGUAACAUUAAAUCGUACCCCAAACCGACACAGGUGGUCAGGUAGAGAAUACCAAGGCGCUUGAGAGAACUCGGGUGAAGGAACUAGGCAAAAUGGUGCCGUAACUUCGGGAGAAGGCACGCUGGUGUGUAGGUGAAGUCCCUGCGGAUGGAGCUGAGACCAGUCGAAGAUACCAGCUGGCUGCAACUGUUUAUUAAAAACACAGCACUGUGCAAACACGAAAGUGGACGUAUACGGUGUGACGCCUGCCCGGUGCCGGAAGGUUAAUUGAUGGGGUUAUCCGUAAGGAGAAGCUCUUGAUCGAAGCCCCGGUAAACGGCGGCCGUAACUAUAACGGUCCUAAGGUAGCGAAAUUCCUUGUCGGGUAAGUUCCGACCUGCACGAAUGGCGUAAUGAUGGCCAGGCUGUCUCCACCCGAGACUCAGUGAAAUUGAACUCGCUGUGAAGAUGCAGUGUACCCGCGGCAAGACGGAAAGACCCCGUGAACCUUUACUAUAGCUUGACACUGAACAUUGAGCCUUGAUGUGUAGGAUAGGUGGGAGGCUUUGAAGCGUGGACGCCAGUCUGCGUGGAGCCAACCUUGAAAUACCACCCUUUAAUGUUUGAUGUUCUAACGUUGGCCCCUUACCGGGGUUGCGGACAGUGUCUGGUGGGUAGUUUGACUGGGGCGGUCUCCUCCCAAAGCGUAACGGAGGAGCACGAAGGUUAGCUAAUCCUGGUCGGACAUCAGGAGGUUAGUGCAAUGGCAUAAGCUAGCUUGACUGCGAGCGUGACGGCGCGAGCAGGUGCGAAAGCAGGUCAUAGUGAUCCGGUGGUUCUGAAUGGAAGGGCCAUCGCUCAACGGAUAAAAGGUACUCCGGGGAUAACAGGCUGAUACCGCCCAAGAGUUCAUAUCGACGGCGGUGUUUGGCACCUCGAUGUCGGCUCAUCACAUCCUGGGGCUGAAGUAGGUCCCAAGGGUAUGGCUGUUCGCCAUUUAAAGUGGUACGCGAGCUGGGUUUAGAACGUCGUGAGACAGUUCGGUCCCUAUCUGCCGUGGGCGCUGGAGAAUUGAGGGGGGCUGCUCCUAGUACGAGAGGACCGGAGUGGACGCAUCACUGGUGUUCGGGUUGUCAUGCCAAUGGCACUGCCCGGUAGCUAAAUGCGGAAGAGAUAAGUGCUGAAAGCAUCUAAGCACGAAACUUGCCCCGAGAUGAGUUCUCCCUGAGACUUUAAGUCUCCUGAAGGAACGUUGAAGACGACGACGUUGAUAGGCCGGGUGUGUAAGCGCAGCGAUGCGUUGAGCUAACCGGUACUAAUGAACCGUGAGGCUUAACCUUACAACGCCGAAG